AAAAAAAGAAGGGAAAGAAGAGAGGAAAGAAGAGAGAAGGAAGAGAGAAAGGGAGAAAGGGAGAAAUCCAAAGAACCAUCAUCCCUCAACCAAAUUGGAUGAUUCCAAAGCCUAAACCACUUAGAUUCUUCCCCUCUUUCAUAAUCCAAGCUUAGUUUUGAGUGGGGAGCAUUGUGGAGAGGGAUAUUGCCCCUCAAAAAUUCGGCCCUUUGUGAGAUUUUAGGGUUUUGGGGGUUUCAACCUCCAUUGAAGCUUGAGGAGCCAUCAAUCCUUGGUUGUGUGACCAUUGGUGGAUUGAGGCAAGAGGACCAAGUGGAGUGACCAACCCUUGGGAUUGUGUGCAAUUGAGGAAAGCUCAAGAGCAAGGUACUGAUAGAGGUGAGGUUGAUCGAGGCAAGAAGCAUGAGUAGACUGUACCUGAUAGCUGGACAUGUUGAGUUGCAUGCCAUUUAGCAUUGCUAUAUGCAUAUUUUGAUGUCA